rnacentral:misc_RNA from 1 species
CCGAAUUGUCAACAAGAGUUGUUGCUGGUCUCCAUAUGGGGGCAUGUGCACGCUCUGUUUACACAUCCACUCACACCUGUGCACCCUCUGUAGUUCUAUGGCCUGGGUGGGCUCUGUCCCCCUGCUGUGGUUCUGCGUCUUUACACACACACUACAAUGAAGUCUCAUGGAAUGUAUGUCGCGUUUAACGCAAUGAAAUA